rnacentral:rRNA from 1 species
GGGAGCUUGCUCCGCUGACGAGUGGCGAACGGGUGAGUAAUGCAUCGGAACGUACCCAGUCGUGGGGGAUAACGUAGCGAAAGUUACGCUAAUACCGCAUACGUCCUGAGGGAGAAAGCGGGGGACCGUAAGGCCUCGCGCGAUUGGAGCGGCCGAUGUCGGAUUAGCUAGUUGGUAGGGUAAAGGCCUACCAAGGCGACGAUCCGUAGCGGGUCUGAGAGGAUGAUCCGCCACACUGGGACUGAGACACGGCCCAGACUCCUACGGGAGGCAGCAGUGGGGAAUUUUGGACAAUGGGCGAAAGCCUGAUCCAGCCAUGCCGCGUGAGUGAAGAAGGCCUUCGGGUUGUAGAGCUCUUUCAGCCGGAAAGAAAUCGCGCAGGAUAAUACUCUGCGUGGAUGACGGUACCGGAAGAAGAAGCACCGGCUAACUACGUGCCAGCAGCCGCGGUAAUCCGUAGGGUGCGAGCGUUAAUCGGAAUUACUGGGCGUAAAGCGUGCGCAGGCGGUUAUGUAAGACAGAUGUGAAAUCCCCGGGCUCAACCUGGGAACUGCGUUUGUGACUGCAUAACUAGAGUACGGCAGAGGGAGGUGGAAUUUCCGCGUGUAGCAGUGAAAUGCGUAGAUAUGCGGAGGAACACCGAUGGCGAAGCAGCUCCUGGGCCAGUACU